rnacentral:tRNA from 1 species
UAGGCAGGAGUCUAUAGGUCAAGAAGACUAGCUGUUAAUUAGUAAAUUGUGGGAUCAAGGCCCACCUGUCUA